ACGGGAGGCAGCAGUGGGGAAUUUUGCGCAAUGGGGGCAACCCUGACGCGGCAACGCCGCGUGCGGGACGGAGGGCUUCGGCCCGUAAACCGCUUUCAGCAGGGAAGACUCAAGACGGUACCUGCAGAAGAAGCUCCGGCUAACUACGUGCCAGCAGCCGCGGUAAUACGUAGGGGGCGAGCGUUAUCCGGAUUCAUUGGGUGUAAAGCGCGCGUAGGCGGCCGCCUAAGCGGAGUUUCUAACCUUGGGGCUCAACCUCAAGCCGGACUCCGAACUGGGCGGCUCGAGUGCGGUAGGGGCAGGCGGAAUUCCACGAGUAGCGGUGAAAUGCGCAGAUAUGUGGAGGAACACCGAUGGCGAAGGCAGCCUGCUGGGCCGGCACUGACGCUGAGGCGCGAAAGCUGGGGGAGCGAACAGGAUUAGAUACCCUGGUA
rnacentral:rRNA from 1 species